GAUGAACGCUGGCGGCGUGCUUAACACAUGCAAGUCGAACGGAAAGGCCCAAGCUUGCUUGGGUACUCGAGUGGCGAACGGGUGAGUAACACGUGGGUGAUCUGCCCUGCACUUCGGGAUAAGCCUGGGAAACUGGGUCUAAUACCGGAUAGGACCACAUUUUGGAUGGUGUGGUGGAAAGUUUUUCGGUGUGGGAUGAGCUCGCGGCCUAUCAGCUUGUUGGUGGGGUAAUGGCAUACCAAGGCGUCGACGGGUAGCCCGCCUGAGAGGGUGUACGGCCACAAUGGGACUGAGAUACGGCCCAGACGCCUACGGGAGGCAGCAGUGGGGAAUAUUGCACAAUGGGCGCAAGCCUGAUGCAGCGACGCCGCGUGGGGGAUGACGGCCUUCGGGUUGUAAACUCCUUUCGCUGGGGACGAAGCGCAAGUGACGGUACCUGGAGAAGAAGCACCGGCUAACUACGUG
rnacentral:rRNA from 1 species